rnacentral:rRNA from 1 species
GACGAACGCUGGCGGCGUGCCUAAUACAUGCAAGUAGAACGCACAGUUUAUACCGUAGCUUGCUACACCAUAGACUGUGAGUUGCGAACGGGUGAGUAACGCGUAGGUAACCUGCCUGGUAGCGGGGGAUAACUAAUGGAAACGAUAGCUAAUACCGCAUAAUAUUAAUUAUUGCAUGAUAAUUGAUUGAAAGAUGCAACUGCAUCACUACCAGAUGGACCUGCGUUGUAUUAGCUAGUAGGUGAGGUAACGGCUCACCUAGGCGACGAUACAUAGCCGACCCGGGAGGGUGAUCGGCCAACCUGGGACUGAGACACGGCCCAGACUCCUACGGGAGGCAGCAGUAGGGAAUCUUCGGCAAUGGACGAAAGUCUGACCGAGCAACGCCGCGGGAGUGAAGAAGGUUUUCGGAUCGUAAAGCUCUGUUGUAAGAGAAGAACGGGGGUGAGAGUGGAAAGUUCACACUGUGACGGUAUCUUACCAGAAAGGGACGGCUAACUACGUG